GGACCCGUAGAUCAAUUGGUUGGAUCAUCUGGCUCAUAACCAGAAGGUUGUCGGUUCAAGCCCGGACGGGUCCA
rnacentral:tRNA from 1 species